rnacentral:rRNA from 1 species
AUUGAACGCUGGCGGCAGGCUUAACACAUGCAAGUCGAGCGAGCGGCGGACGGGUGAGUAAUGUCUGGGAAACUGCCUGAUGGAGGGGGAUAACUACUGGAAACGGUAGCUAAUACCGCAUACCAUCAGAUGUGCCCAGAUGGGAUUAGCUAGUAGGUGGGGUAAUGGCGCACCUAGGCGAGGAUCCCUAGCUGGUCUGAGAGGAUGACCAGCGAAACUGGAACUGAGACACGGUCGAGACUCCUACGGGAGGCAGCAGUGAGGAAUAUUGCACAAGAGGCGCAAGCCUGAUGCAGCCAUGCCGCGUGAGUGAAGAAGGCCUUCGGGUUGUAAAGCACUUUCAGCGGGGAGGAGGUAGUCGAAGAAGAAGCACCGGCUAACUCCGUGCCAGCAGCCGCGGUAAUAG